rnacentral:rRNA from 1 species
GACGAACGCUGGCGGCGUGCUUAACACAUGCAAGUCGAACGGAAAGGCCCUGCUUUUGUGGGGUGCUCGAGUGGCGAACGGGUGAGUAACACGUGAGUAACCUGCCCUUGACUUUGGGAUAACUUCAGGAAACUGGGGCUAAUACCGGAUAGGAGCUCCUGCUGCAGGGUGGGGGUUGGAAAGUUUCGGCGGUUGGGGAUGGACUCGCGGCUUAUCAGCUUGUUGGUGGGGUAGUGGCUUACCAAGGCUUUGACGGGUAGCCGGCCUGAGAGGGUGACCGGCCACAGUGGGACUGAGAUACGGCCCAGACUCCUACGGGAGGCAGCAGUGGGGAAUAUUGCACAAUGGGCGGAAGCCUGAUGCAGCAACGCCGCGUGCGGGAUGACGGCCUUCGGGUUGUAAACCGCUUUCGCCUGUGACGAAGCGUGAGUGACGGUAAUGGGUAAAGAAGCACCGGCUAACUACGUG